rnacentral:rRNA from 1 species
ACGGGUGCGGAACACGUACGCAACCUUCCUUUAACUGGAGAAUAGCCCGGGGAAACCCGGAUUAAUACUCCGUAACAUUAUGAAGUGGCAUCACUUUAUAAUUAUAGCUCCGGCGGUUAGAGAUGGGCGUGCGUCUGAUUAGGUAGUUGGCGGGGUAACGGCCCACCAAGCCUACGAUCAGUAACUGGUGUGAGAGCACGACCAGUCACACGGGCACUGAGACACGGGCCCGACUCCUACGGGAGGCAGCAGUAAGGAAUAUUGGUCAAUGGACGCAAGUCUGAACCAGCCAUGCCGCGUGGAGGAUGAAGGUCCUCUGGAUUGUAAACUUCUUUUAUUUGGGAAGAAACCCACGAUUUCUAUUGUGGUUGACGGUACCAGAUGAAUAAGCACCGGCUAACUCCGUGCCAGCAGCCGCGG